GACGGGGGGUGCAAGCGUUAAUCGGAAUUACUGGGCGUAAAGGGCGCGUAGGCGGUUAUAAAAGUAGGUUGUGAAAUCCCUGGGCUUAACCUAGGAACUGCAUCCUAAACUAUAUAACUAGAGAUCAGUAGAGGGAGGUGGAAUUCCUGGUGUAGCAGUGAAAUGCGUAGAGAUCAGGAAGAACAUCAGUGGCGAAGGCGGCCUCCUGGACUGUAUCUGACGCUGAGGCGCGAAAGCGUGGGGAGCAAACAGG
rnacentral:rRNA from 1 species